rnacentral:rRNA from 1 species
GAUUAACGCUGGCGGCGUGCAUAACACAUGCAAGUCGAACGAUGAAACUUUAAUGACCCCUUCGGGGAGAAUUAAAGCGGAUUAGUGGCGAACGGGUAAGUAACGCGUGAGUAACCUGCCUUACACAAGGGGAUAGCCUUUGGAAACGAAGAAUAAUACCCUAUAAAACCAUAAAAGCACAUGCAAUUAUGGUCAAAGUGAUAGCGGUGUAAGAUGGACUUGCGUCUGAUUAGCUAGUUGGUGAGAUAAAAGCCCACCAAGGCAACGAUCAGUAGCCGGCUUGAGAGAGUGUACGGCCACAUUGGGACUGAGACACGGCCCAGACUCCUACGGGAGGCAGCAGUGGGGAAUUUUGCACAAUGGGGGAAACCCUGAUGCAGCGACGCCGCGUGAUUGAGAAGGCCUUCGGGUUGUAAAAAUCUUUUGUAUAGGAAGAAAAUGACAGUACUAUACGAAUAAGGUCCGGCUAAUUACGUG